rnacentral:rRNA from 1 species
AUUGCACAAUGGGGGAAACCCUGAUGCAGCGACGCCGCGUGAGCGAAGAAGUAUUUCGGUAUNUAAAGCUCUAUCAGCAGGGAAGNNGANNNCNGUACCUGACUAAGAAGCUCCGGCUAAAUACGUGCCANNNGCAGCGGUAAUACGUAUGGAGCAAGCGUUAUCCGGAUUUACUGGGUGUAAAGGGAGCGUAGGCGGCCUGGCAAGUCUGGUGUGAAAUACCGGGGCCCAACCCCGGGACUGCAUUGGAAACUGCCAGGCUGGAGUGUCGGAGGGGCAGGCGGAAUUCCUAGUGUAGCGGUGAAAUGCGUAGAUAUUAGGAGGAACACCGGUGGCGAAGGCGGCCUGCUGGACGACAACUGACGCUGAGGCUCGAAAGCGUGGGGAGCAAACAGG